rnacentral:ncRNA from 1 species
GUUAAUAGGUUCCCUUUUAGGGAUUAAUAAGGAAUUGGGUGUUUUCCAUAACUUUUGGACAAAUCCCAAGCUACCCCCGUAACUGUAAUCAGUUUGUUUUGCAUCAAUGCCACUGAAAGUUCUCUUUUGGGAAGGUUUGUAAAGCGCGCGCUGAAAGCCAGGAGACUUGCCUUUAAUAAUU